AACGAACGCUGACGGCAGGCCUAACACAUGCAAGUCGAGCGAGGACUUCGGUCCUAGCGGCGGACGGGUGAGUAACGCGUGGGAACGUGCCCUUUGCUACGGAAUAGCCCCGGGAAACUGGGAGUAAUACCGUAUGUGCCCUUCGGGGGAAAGAUUGUAGCGGCAAAGGAUCGGCCCGCGUUGGAUUAGGUAGGUGGUGGGGUAAUGGCCUACCAAGCCGACGAUCCAUAGCUGGUUUGAGAGGAUGAUCAGCCACACUGGGACUGAGACACGGCCCAGACUCCGACGGGAGGCAGCAGUGGGGAAUCUUAGACAAUGGGGGAAACCCUGAUCUAGCCAUGCCGCGUGAGCGAUGAAGGCCUUAGGGUUGUAAAGCUCUUUCAGUGGGGAAGAUAAUGACGGUACCCACAGAAGAAGCCCCGGCUAACUCCGUGCCAGCAGCCGCCAUAACAC
rnacentral:rRNA from 1 species